AGGUGACACAUAUAUUGACAGUAUGGGGUAUGUGGCAAUGACACAUGGGUGUGUAAACACCUACCACUGAAUACCUCCUUCAAUGCAUCACUGCAUCUGUAGCUUUGUUGUCUUUUGCUUGGCCUUGUUCUU